AAUUCUCAACUACGUCCCAUCGUCGGCUAGCGUCGGUUCAGCAGAUGAAGUUAGUUGUGCUUCAGGGACACCAUGCAUUACCAAUCCAAUGGCAGUGAGGAGGAAAAUGAAGUCCAGACAUUUCCUGAACAUUAUUCAGGUCGCGAACUGAAAGUGCACAGAGUGUCAUCAUUUAGGAAACUGAUUAACAAGAGUACAGUACUGUUACUGAAUCGGAAAAGUGGCAAGUGAGGCUAUCUAUGAAACUGUAAGCGUUGGUGGAGACCUAUAUUAACCGAAUUCGUCACAGUUAUCAUCACAACCUUCAAUUUGGCAUGUUCUUACAGUCUCUAAGUACCACGUGAAGAAAGAACGAUGGACUCUACUCCAUUUACGUCUACUUAAUUGUUAAAAAGGGCAAUGGGGCAAAGGUAACAGUGGCCAGUUGUGGUCUAUCUGUCGCUACAAUGGCUGCUACUGUUAAGAGAUUAUUAACGCUCAGACGACGGUCUGCUUAAGAUCGAGUGUACUAGGUGAUUACAAGGCUUGAUUGAAGCCAGUGUACAGAACUUCAUAUUAUCACAAUACUUUCAAUUAAAUAUAAAUUAUUUUUCGAAUUUUAAUAAUAAUUUUUUAAUGAAUGAAUUUUGGUUUAUAAAUUCCUCUUAAACGUGAUAUUAAAUUUGUGUUGUAACUGAUUCUUUUCAUGUGAUUUAUAUUCUAAAUUCAGCCACAAAACUUAAUGCUGUACAAAGAAAAUAAUAAUCCAAUUAAAAUCAAGAAUUU